UUUUGCUUAAAUGGGGAUUUCCGAAGAGAAAACGCGUGAUUUUUGGGUUAAAUGGGGGAUUCUCGAAGAGAAAAUGCGUGAUUUUUUGGUUAAAUGGGGGAUUGUCGAAGAGAAAACGCGUGAUUUUUGCUUAAAUGGGGAAUUUCCGAAGAGAAAACGCGUGAUUUUUGGGUCAAAUGGGGGAUUCUCGAAGAGAAAAUGCGUGAUUUUUUGGUUAAAUGGGGGAUUGUCGAAGAGAAAACGCGUGAUUUUCGGCUUAAAUGGGGGAUUCUCGAAGAGAAAACGCGUGAUUUUGUGUUAAGUGGGGGAUUUCUGAAGAGAAAAUGCGUGAUUUUCAGGUAAUCUCGGUGAUUCUCAAAGAGAAAACGCGUGAUUUUGGGGUUAAAUGGGGGAUUCCUGAAAAGAAAGCACUUGAUCUUCGCUUAAAUGUGAGCUUCUCAAAGGGAAAACGUGUGAUUUUUGCUUAAAUGGGGGAUUCUCAAAAAGAAAACAUGUGAUUUUUGGGUUAAAUGGGGGUUUCUCGAUGAGAAAACGGCUCUAUGGGGCGGCUAUGGGGCUCUAUGGGGCUCUAUGGGGCUCUAUGGGG
ensembl:lncRNA